AGAUUAAGUUAUUAAGGGCGCACGGUGGAUGCCUUGGCACUAGAAGCCGAUGAAGGACGUUACUAACGACGAUAUGCUUUGGGGAGCUGUAAGUAAGCUUUGAUCCAGAGAUUUCCGAAUGGGGAAACCCAGCAUGAGUUAUGUCAUGUUAUCGAUAUGUGAAUACAUAGCAUAUCAGAAGGCACACCUGGAGAACUGAAACAUCUUAGUACCCGGAGGAAGAGAAAGAAAAUUCGAUUCCCUUAGUAGCGGCGAGCGAAACGGGAAGAGCCCAAACCAACAAGCUUGCUUGUUGGGGUUGUAGGACACUCUAUACGGAGUUACAAAGGACGACAUUAGACGAAUCAUCUGGAAAGAUGAAUCAAAGAAGGUAAUAAUCCUGUAGUCGAAAAUGUUGUCUCUCUUGAGUGGAUCCUGAGUACGACGG
rnacentral:rRNA from 1 species